rnacentral:rRNA from 1 species
UCGAGCGGAAACGACAACAUUGAAUCUUCGGAGGAUUUGUUGGGCGUCGAGCGGCGGACGGGUGAGUAAUGCCUAGGAAAUUGCCUUGAUGUGGGGGAUAACCAUUGGAAACGAUGGCUAAUACCGCAUAAUGCCUACGGGCCAAAGAGGGGGACCUUCGGGCCUCUCGCGUCAAGAUAUGCCUAGGUGGGAUUAGCUAGUUGGUGAGGUAAUGGCUCACCAAGGCGACGAUCCCUAGCUGGUCUGAGAGGAUGAUCAGCCACACUGGAACUGAGACACGGUCCAGACUCCUACGGGAGGCAGCAGUGGGGAAUAUUGCACAAUGGGCGAAAGCCUGAUGCA